AGGGGGAGGCCGGAUCCUGGGCUGUGUCCCUGGUGCCCUGUGCUCCGGGGCCUGCGGUGUUGGAUUCGUGGUCCCGGAAGCGCAGCCCCCU
rnacentral:pre_miRNA from 1 species